rnacentral:rRNA from 1 species
GAUGAACGCUGGCGGCGUGCCUAAUACAUGCAAGUCGAGCGAACAGACGAGGAGCUUGCUCCUCUGACGUUAGCGGCGGACGGGUGAGUAACACGUGGAUAACCUACCUAUAAGACUGGGAUAACUUCGGGAAACCGGAGCUAAUACCGGAUAAUAUAUUGAACCGCAUGGUUCAAUAGUGAAAGACGGUUUUGCUGUCACUUAUAGAUGGAUCCGCGCCGCAUUAGCUAGUUGGUAAGGUAACGGCUUACCAAGGCAACGAUGCGUAGCCGACCUGAGAGGGUGAUCGGCAACACUGGAACUGAGACACGGUCCAGACUCCUACGGGAGGCAGCAGUAGGGAAUCUUCCGCAAUGGGCGAAAGCCUGACGGAGCAACGCCGCGUGAGUGAUGAAGGUCUUCGGAUCGUAAACCUCUGUUAUUAGGGAAGAACAAAUGUGUAAGUAACUAUGCACGUCUUGACGGUACCUAAUCAGAAAGCCACGGCUAACUACGUG